GAUGAACGCUGGCGGCGUGCCUAAUACAUGCAAGUCGAGCGAACAGACGAGGAGCUUGCUCCUCUGACGUUAGCGGCGGACGGGUGAGUAACACGUGGAUAACCUACCUAUAAGACUGGGAUAACUUCGGGAAACCGGAGCUAAUACCGGAUAAUAUAUUGAACCGCAUGGUUCAAUAGUGAAAGACGGUUUUGCUGUCACUUAUAGAUGGAUCCGCGCCGCAUUAGCUAGUUGGUAAGGUAACGGCUUACCAAGGCAACGAUGCGUAGCCGACCUGAGAGAGUGAUCGGCCACACUGGAACCGAGCCACGGUCAAGACUCCUACGGGAGGCAGCAGUAGGGAAUCUUCCGCAAUGGGCGAAAGCUUGACGGAGCAACGCAGCGUGAGUGAUGAAGGUCUUCGGAUCGUAAAACUCUGUUAUUAGGGAAGAACAAAUGUGUAAGUAACUAUGCACGUCUUGACGGUACCUAAUCAGAAAGCCACGGCUAACUACGUG
rnacentral:rRNA from 1 species